AACGAACGCUGGCGGCAGGCUUAACACAUGCGAGUCGAACGCCCCGCAAGGGGAGUGGCAGACGGGUGAGUAACGCGUGGGAACAUACGCUUUCCUGCGGAAUAGGCCUGGGAAACCGGCAUUAAUACCGCAUACGCCCUACGGGGUAAAGAUUUAUCGGGGAGGGAUUGGCCCGCGUUGGAUUAGCUAGUUGGUGGGGUAAAGGCCUACCAAGGCGACGAUCCAUAGCUGGUCUGAGAGGAUGAUCAGCCACAUUGGGACUGAGACACGGCCCAAACUCCUACGGGAGGCAGCAGUGGGGAAUAUUGGACAAUGGGCGCAAGCCUGAUCCAGCCAUGCCGCGUGAGUGAUGAAGGCCUUAGGGUUGUAAAGCUCUUUCACCGAUGAAGAUAAUGACGGUAGUCGGAGAAGAAGCCCCGGCUAACUUCGUGCCAGCCGCCGCAGUAACAC
rnacentral:rRNA from 1 species